AUUGAACGCUGGCGGCAUGCCUUACACAUGCAAGUCGAACGGCAGCACGGGAGCAAUCCUGGUGGCGAGUGGCGAACGGGUGAGUAAUAUAUCGGAACGUGCCCAGUCGUGGGGGAUAACGUAGCGAAAGCUACGCUAAUACCGCAUACGAUCUAUGGAUGAAAGCGGGGGAUCGCAAGACCUCGCGCGAUUGGAGCGGCCGAUAUCAGAUUAGGUAGUUGGUGAGGUAAAGGCUCGCCAAGCCGACGAUCUGUAGCUGGUCUGAGAGGACGACCAGCCACACUGGGACUGAGACACGGCCCAGACUCCUACGGGAGGCAGCAGUGGGGAAUUUUUGGACAAUGGGCGGCAAGCCUGAUCCAGCAAUGCCGCCGUGCAGGA
rnacentral:rRNA from 1 species